AGAGUUUGAUCCUGGCUCAGGACGAACGCUGGCGGCGUGGAUUGGGCAUGCAAGUCGAGCGACGGACCUUCGGGUUACGGAGCGGCGAACGGGUGAGUAACACGUGAACAACCUACCCCUUCAUUCCGGAUAAUUGGAAGAAAUUCCUUGUAAUACGGGGGAGGAUCCAACUGAGGCAUCUCAGAUGUAUCGAACAGGCAACUGGUGCAGGGACGGGUUCGCGGAUUAUCAGGUAGUUGGUGGGGUAACGGCCUACCAAGCCUACGACGAUUAGCUGGUCUGAGAGGAUGGUCAGCCACAUUGGGACUGAGACACGGCCCAGACUCCUACGGGAGGCAGCAGUGGGGAAUUUUCCGCAAUGGGCGAAAGCCUGACGGAGCAAUACCGCGUGAGGGAGGAAGGCUCUUGGGUUGUAAACCUCUUUUCUCAGAGAAGAAUAAUGACGGUAUCUGAGGAAUAAGCAUCGGCUAACUCCGUGCCAGCAGCCGCGGUAAUACGGAGGAUGCAAGCGUUAUCCGGAAUGAUUGGGCGUAAAGGGUCUGUAGGUGGUUGUUCAAGUCUGCUGUUAAAGCGUCUGGCUUAACCAGAUAAAGGCGGUGGAAACUGAACGACUAGAGUGCGGUAGGGGUAGAGGGAAUUCCCAGUGUAGCGGUGAAAUGCGUAGAUAUUGGGAAGAACACCUGUGGCGAAAGCGCUCUACUGGACCGCGACUGACACUGAUGGACGAAAGCUAGGGGAGCAAAUGGGAUUAGAUACCCCAGUAGUCC
rnacentral:rRNA from 1 species